ACUACUGUACAUGUCUUGUUGUGGAAGGAGAGGAAGUGUGGGUAGCCCUGGGUGUAGGUGGAUGUGUACUGUGGGUAGUCCUGGGUGUAGGUGGACGUGUACUGUGGGUAGUCCUGGGUGUAGGUGGACGUGUGCUGUGGGUAGUCCUGGGUGUGGGUGGACGUG